rnacentral:rRNA from 1 species
GACGAACGCUGGCGGCGUGCUUAACACAUGCAAGUCGAACGGUAAGGCCCUUCGGGGUACACGAGUGGCGAACGGGUGAGUAACACGUGGGUGAUCUGCCCUGCACUUCGGGAUAAGCCUGGGAAACUGGGUCUAAUACCGGAUAGGACCCUGGGAUGCAUGUCCUGGGGUGGAAAGCUUUUGCGGUGUGGGAUGGGCCCGCGGCCUAUCAGCUUGUUGGUGGGGUGAUGGCCUACCAAGGCGACGACGGGUAGCCGGCCUGAGAGGGGGACCGGCCACAAUGGGACUGGGAUACGGCCCAGACUCCUACGGGAGGCAGCAGUGGGGAAUAUUGCACAAUGGGCGCAAGCCUGAUGCAGCGACGCCGCGUGAGGGAUGACGGCCUUCGGGUUGUAAACCUCUUUCAGCACCGACGAAGCGCAAGUGACGGUAGGUGCAGAAGAAGGACCGGCCAACUACGUGCCAGCCGCCGCAGUAA